CUUCGAGUCCUACCAUAAUCAGGACUCCUACGCCUGUCAUAAGCUGGGCCAUUGUACCUAUCGUACUCAGGGCUGCGAGCUCUGCCGUAGUCAGGACUAGGUCUCCUGCGAUAUACAGGACUAGGAGACCUCCCAUGAUAACUUCCUCUCCUAGGACUACCAUCUCUGUCGUCCCUCUCACCGUCAUCCCUCAAAGCGUACUCAACUGAC
rnacentral:misc_RNA from 1 species